AGUGAACGCUGGCGGUAGGCCUAACACAUGCAAGUCGAGCGGCAGCACAGUAAGAGCUUGCUCUUACGGGUGGCGAGUGGCGGACGGGUGAGGAAUACAUCGGAAUCUACUUUUUCGUGGGGGAUAACGUAGGGAAACUUACGCUAAUACCGCAUACGACCUACGGGUGAAAGCAGGGGAUCUUCGGACCUUGCCCGAUUGAAUGAGCCGAUGUCGGAUUAGCUAGUUGGCGGGGUAAAGGCCCACCAAGGCGACGAUCCGUAGCUGGUCUGAGAGGAUGAUCAGCCACACUGGAACUGAGACACGGUCCAGACUCCUACGGGAGGCAGCAGUGGGGAAUAUUGGACAAUGGGCGCAAGCCUGAUCCAGCCAUACCGCGUGGGUGAAGAAGGCCUUCGGGUUGUAAAGCCCUUUUGUUGGGAAAGAAAAGCAGCAGGUUAAUACCCCGCUGUUCUGACGGUACCCAAAGAAUAAGCACCGGCUAACUUCGUG
rnacentral:rRNA from 1 species